UCUAGUUAGAAACCAACUAUGCCUCCCACAUCGUCCAGUUGAGAAACAGAUGAAUAUAUUAUAAGCAAAGACAAGGUAUCAGGUUACUGUCUCUUCGGAGACAUCCGAUAAAAUUGGAACGAUACAGAGAAGAUUAGCAUGGCCCCUGCGCAAGGAUGACACGCACAAAUCGAGAAAUGGUCCAAAUUUUUUUUCUCUUCUGGGUUUGAUUAUUUUGUACCAAAUUUGAGCUGUUCUCAAACUGGUUUGAUUUUGAACUGGGCUUGAUUAUUUUGUACCAAAUUUGAGCUGGUUUUUCUCACAAUGGUUUGGUUUUGAACUGGGUUUGGUUUAAUUAUUUGGUUUGAACGUUUGUAUUUGUGAGUCUGGUAUUUGAUAGUUGCGUGCUAAUUUUAAUGUGUUUUAAACCUGUCAUUGCUGAUUUUAUGAGCUGGGUUUCUCACACUCGUUCGAACUUGAACUGGGUUUUAUUAUUUUGUAUGAAUUUUGAGAUGGGUUUUUCACAAUGAAUAUAUUGUUCAAUUACUCUCAGACUCUUGCCACGCUCAGACUCACAAGGGACCAAAUCUUUGUCUCUUCAGAGACAUCCAAUAAAGUUGGAACUAUAAAAGAGAAGAUUAGCAUGGCCCCUGCACAAUGAUGACACACACUGAUUGAGAAAUUGUCCUAAUUUUUUUUUCAUUCUUUGGGUUUGAUUAUUUUCUUUCAAUUUUCCAGCUGGGUUUUAUUUCUGUCUUCCUGGAUUUUAGUCUUUGUUCUCGGCAGCUCAGUUUUUUUUUUUUAAUUCUGGGAUUGAUGCAAUGUUCUGUGUUUCUAUUGAUGGAUUUUUUUGACAAUAUUUUGAUUGGAUAUGUGUUGAUCAGUCUUCUUCUUCCAUUCCAUCCAUUGACAUUCUUUGUUUGUGUUUCUGAAAUGGUCCAAAUUUUUUUCUCUCUUUGCCCUUUGGAUUUCUGAACCGUAUUUUUGCUUCUGGGUUUGGUAUGAAUUUGGUGAUUGCGUGACAAUUUAAUGUGUUGUAAACUGGGUUUUUUUGUC